rnacentral:rRNA from 1 species
CUAUGCGCCUUGCCAGCCCGCUCAGGUGUGCCAGCCGCGCGGUAAUACGUAGGGGGCAAGCGUUAUCCGGAUUUACUGGGUGUAAAGGGCGUGUAGCCGGGCCGGCAAGUCAGAUGUGAAAUCCCAAGGCUCAACCUUGGAACUGCAUUUGAAACUGUUGGUCUUGAGUAUCGGAGAGGCAGGCGGAAUUCCUAGUGUAGCGGUGAAAUGCGUAGAUAUUAGGAGGAACACCAGUGGCGAAGGCGGCCUGCUGGACGACAACUGACGGUGAGGCGCGAAAGCGUGGGGAGCAAACAGG